rnacentral:lncRNA from 1 species
CCACCUCAGCUGUAAAUUCAUAGCAUCAGAGCUUUUAUUAGAUUGCAGAGAAGAUGAAUGAUUUAAAUUCAUAUCGAAAUCUUCUGGUGCAAUGUUUAUGAAAUUUACAAGGUUAUUAACUGUCUAAUUUCCAAUAGACUAUAUCUGGGAAAUACCACCACUAAAGAGGUGUACUGCAGAAAACAAAGGAUGUUUAGUAAUUCGAAACCCAUAAUCAUACUUGAAAAACCCAAGUGUAGA